ACACAUAUUCAACAGUCAUUGAAUCACAAACAAACAUUAAUACAGUCAAAAUAUCUAAGUCCGGAUCAAUUUCUGAAACAUGUCGGUGUACCGACGACUUUACCGGGUAAUUAUCGAGUCUAAGACUCUAUCAUGUAGUUCAACAUCUGUAAGUAUCAGUCAUAUUAUUUUUAAAUGACUUAUAAUAAUUUUUAAACAUUUAUUAUAAUUUAUCAUGAAUUUUC
rnacentral:lncRNA from 1 species